rnacentral:rRNA from 1 species
CCUACGGGAGGCAGCAGUGGGGAAUAUUGCACAAUGGGCGAAAGCCUGAUGCAGCAACGCCGCGUGAAGGAAGACGGUUUUCGGAUUGUAAACUUCUGUUCUUAGUGAAGAAUAAUGACGGUAACUAAGGAGCAAGCCACGGCUAACUACGUGCCAGCAGCCGCGGUAAUACGUAGGUGGGAAGCGUUGUCCGGAAUUACUGGGUGUAACGGGAGCGUAGGCGGGAAGCCAAGUCAGCUGUGAAAACUACGGGCUUAACCUGUAGACUGCAGUUGAAACUGGCUUUCUUGAGUGAAGUAGAGGUUGGCGGAAUGCCGGGUGUAGCGGUGAAAUGCGUAGAUAUUCGGAGGAACACCGGUGGCGAAGGCAGCCAACUAAGCUUUAACUGACGCUGAGGCUCGAAAGUGUGGGGAGCAAACAGGAUUAGAUACCCUGGUAGUC